CGUAGGGUGCGAGCGUUAAUCGGAAUUACUGGGCGUAAAGCGUGCGCAGGCGGUUUUGUAAGACAGAUGUGAAAUCCCCGGGCUCAACCUGGGACCUGCAUUUGUGACUGCAAGGCUAGAGUACGGUAGAGGGGGAUGGAAUUCCGCGUGUAGCAGUGAAAUGCGUAGAUAUGCGGAGGAACACCGAUGGCGAAGGCAAUCCCCCGGACCUGUACUGACGCUCAUGCACGAAAGCGUGGGGAGCAAACAGGAUUAGAUACCCUGGUAGUCCACGCCCUAAACGAUGUCAACUGGUUGUUGGGUCUUUACUGACUCAGUAACGAAGCUAACGCGUGAAGUUGACCGCCUGGGGAGUACGGCCGCAAGGUUG
rnacentral:rRNA from 1 species